AAAGGGUUCUCGUAGAGCUCGCAAGGUGUCAAAUACGGACUUUGCGCCCCCGAGAAAAUAGCAUUUACUGAUGAUGUUGAUGUCUUUGAAGAGUUUCCCCACAGGCUGCCUCCUCCAGCUUCUAGACAAGAUCAUCUCUGACAGUGCAACAACCUGUCCAGCAUUUGACAAAGAUGCGAAGUGAACGAGUGCCAGACUUCGUGGGGGAAUGUCCAGACCGCAGUUCUUCACGUGAGACAGAUCCACAUGUGGGGUAACAUCUCCCAAUUGUCACGCCCAGCUGUUGAGGACCAGAGAUGGAUCAAGAGCUCAACCUUCUGCCAAUAUUUCGUCAGAGAACAAGACAGUGGACCUGCUCCAAGGGAUGUGUAGGGAUACAGGAGAGACUGGCAACUACAGACAGCUCCAGGCUGGAUCUGUCUGUCCCCUCUCUCUCUCCUCUAUCCUCAUCUAUCUGUCUCCACCACUGCUUGUAGACAAACGAUGAUGAUAUCUGUCAAGUCUUGUCCUAUUAUUUUCAUAACUAGGGAUCGAAACAGAACACUGUCGRCUAGUUGGUGGAAUCAUCCCCAGAAUCGGUCCCAUUUGCAUUUAAGGGUAUUCGCAGAAAUCUCGGGUAGGUUUUCUCUCCUGAAAUGUAUGAUCUCUGUUCUACUGCCUUUAGUAAACCAAUAUAACCCUUUUGUCUGAACCAAGCAAUUUACCAUUCUAAUGAACAAAGUAUAGGUGUAGUUCCAGACGUACUGCGGACAGUGGGGUUGUUCUGAAAGCCUCAUUCCCAACCUUGAACAAUGAAGUAAAACAUAGUAGAUGCUGCAAACUGUAUCAAAGAACUUGUAGCCCCCUAAUGUCGCGUGACAGACUUUACUGCUACAAAGUAGGUUGGUUCUGCUAUAUUAUACCAGACUUUACUGCUACAGAGUAGGUUUGUUCUGCUAUAUAAUACCAGACUUUACUGCUACAGAGUAGGUUUGUUCU